rnacentral:lncRNA from 1 species
ACUCCAAGUUUUGCAAAUUUCAUCUCCAAAUCUUGCUCAAACCUUCACCAAAUUCAACCAAAAUUUAACUACACUUAGCUCAACACUUGGGAAGUUCAUCUAGCUACAAAAACAAGGAGCUUUCCACGGAUUUCUUGGAGCUUCUAAGGAUCGAAAAUACUGCCUAGUUCAUCAACCAAAGUAGGUAAUGAUCCAACACUCUAAUCUUGGUUUAUGGAGGUUGAUUAACACCUUUAAGCUCUUGUAUUCAUAUGGGUGGUUGUUAUUGUUGGAAAAUUUGGAAGGUGGGCUCUAUGAAUUCCCACCCUUGUCUUGAUGGCUGAUGUGAUGAUUGAUGAUGGAUUUAGUGUUGGUUUAGUGCUCAAAAUGGUAGAUUAAUGGUGUAUUAUUAGUAGAAACUUCAAGGAGUGCAUGGAGUAAAAAGUUCCGAUUCUGCCCCUGCUUUGAACGUACCUAUUUCUGUAGAAUUUUGGGGAUUUAAUGGCUGGUAUAUGAUAUUUAUAUGUUUUAUAGAUGGUGUACAAAAUUUCAUUGAAAAAUAUUGAGGUUUGGUUGGGCAAAUGAAUUAAUUUCGUGAAGGUAGCAGACCUGGAAACUGUUCCCGUAAUGCUCAGACCAGUCCUUUUGUUUCAUCUAUAACUCUGUGCUUCGAUGUCGAAAUCGAGUGCCGUCAGUGGCAUUUGAAACUAGACAUUCCCACCUUUUCAACGGUAUAAAAUACACAUUCUGAUUCCAUGUAUGUGAGCCGAACCAACCUUUUAAAAUCGGCUGUUCUGUUUCUCUGUUUUCCUGGAACAAAAUGCUGAGGCUGCAACUUGUGGCUCGAAUUCGAGCUAGUUGUGUGCCGAAUUUCAAAAUGAUUUCUUCUGUGAAAUUUUAGCUCUAUGAAUUUAUUUUCCAACGCCAUAAACCAUGCCCAAUUCUGAGUUAAGUUGAGCGAUUUAUGAUCAAAAUACGCAACCUGCCCUGCUCUUGAAAACCCUAACUUUUGGACAGAUUUGAUGCAAGGCUUGGUGUAGACUUGCUAACUGAAUAUUUUGGUGCUAAACACUUAUGAAAUGUGCCAUGAAUGUUCCUUAGGCUUUGCCUACACUAAUGAGCCAUGUUUGAGGAAUUUUUCCUUGACCAAAUGUUUGGAAUGGAAAACAAAAGGACUCAAGGCAGUUUUGUCUUAGGAUUUUCGAAAUUUUGGUUGUUUGAGUGACUACCUUCCCGAAGGUAUUUUUUCAUGAAAUUUGAUAGAGGGAUACACUUUAUAUAGGAGUAUUAUACUGCCAAAUUUUGUACCAAUCCAAGUUCAUUUCGAUGCCUAACUAAAGUCCCAAAGUUGGAAGCUCAAAUCUGGAAAUUUGUUCCCCAGUUUUGAAUUUUUCCCUAACUUUGAGCUACCGUAUCUCGGUGCUCGAAACUCCGAUUCUUGAUCCGCUUUUUCUGUUAAAAACCUUACUUGCAACUCUAAUUGAGUUACAGAUUUCAGAGGCUAGCUCGCAACGUGUGAAUUUUUCCAAAUUUCCAAAAUUAGCGAAAAACCAACCCCAACACAACCUUAAGUACUCUGAAACAGUAACUUUGAGCCCAUUUUUGAAUAUCUUCCAUUUAGAAUCAUGGAAAAGUGUCUUCUAAGAACUUUUAGUAAUUUCUAAGAGGUUUCCAACGGUACCAAGUUUUCCAAUUUUGGACUUGUGUAGAGUGAGAUACGAUUUUUCAAAAACUCGUAUCAAAACGGAAAUUUUCCGAAUUCUAAGAAAAUGGAGUUUUUCAAGUACUCCUUAUUCCUUUAAUAUUUCUUGAACGUUUUAUACUUGAUUUCCCAAAAUGAAAACUCGAUUACCGUGUACUUUAAGAAAUUUCAUUUAAAUCUCGAUUUACGAGUAAUUGAGGUUCGUUUUCAUGAAAUUUCAUUAGAUUGUACUAGUGUACAAUCUUCCUUGAUAAUUGGGAUAUAUGAGUGAUACUUCACUAUUAUGUGCUCAGGCGCACACAAGAGGAACUUCAAGAGGAUCCCACGGUGGAUGCUUGAACUUCGAGUGCCGUUUCUUCUUGUUUACCUGGUGAGUGUCAAGUGCAUGUUAAAUACUUAUGUAAUUGAAAUGUGAAUUGUACAAGUGUUAUACAUGAUACGUAAACUUGUUGAGACGAGUGUGUAUUUUAUCGCGCUCGUUCUCAUUUGGGGAAUGCUACAGUUAAAAUGUGCUAUGUGAAUUGAUAUUCGAAUUGUGUGAAAUGAAUUGUUAUAGGAAUUAAGUGAAGUGUUGUUAUUGCCAACCAUAUUUGUGUUGUGAUGUCGAGUGGAGUGAGCCUCCUCGACUUAUGUGUAUAUACGUGAGGACACCCUCGUUCUCUCUUUCCUUUAAUUAUGCAAUACUUGUUACAUGGAUACACAUGAUCGGUAACUGUUCAUAGACAUGUUUAACUCGUAAGCUCUGAGGGGAAGCAUGUACCACACCGAUUCGGAUGGGAGGUACCUCUCAUCCCGGCUAAGUGCUAUACUCGGUUCCUUGAGCGAUAGUAUUUACCACACCAAUUCGGGUGAGAGGUACACUCAUGUCGACUCAGAACCAUGAACAAUAAUUGGUAAUUGUACAUGAAUAUGUUUAACUCAUGAGCUUUGAGUGGAUAGCAUGUACCACACCAAUCUGGGUGGGAGGUACCUCUCAUACCGUCUCAGUGCUAUAACUGGUUCUCGGAGCGAUAGCAUGUACCACACCGAUUCGAGUGGGAGGUACCUCUCAUGUCGACUCAAAACUAUAAAUAAGGUAUAAGUCGAUUGGAGCGAUGUCUCAUCGACCACUGAACGAUAGCAUGUACCACACCGAUUCGGGUGGGAGGUACCUCUCAUGUCGACUCAAAAUCAUACUUGAAAAAGUGAAAUUCUACGAACUUGAUUACCUAAUUGGGUGAUGGAAUGUCAUCACAAGGAAGUAUUAGAUUGAAUUUUGACAAAACAAAUAGAAAUUAGCUCAUAAGAGUUCUUGUAUCCUACUCAAGGGUAUCUUAGUAUAAAUUGUGAAUCACCUGAAUAUUAUAGCUCUCAUUCUUGUGUAAGUGCUAUUGUUAUUUGGACUACGCGAAUUGCAUGUUUUCUUGGCCUCACGAGCAUUCGCUCACCCCGUUAGAUUUGUUUUCUUUAACAGGAGCUGCAAUGAAAGGAAUUGUGAAAAGGUUGAUUUGAUGGCCCUUUUGAUUAGAAUUUUGAAUGUAUUCAUUUAGACAACUUUUGGAAGCUGUAUAUUUUAGUAAUAUAAGAUAUUUUGGUAACUUAUGAUGUAAGACUUGAACGGUUAUUAAGGAAUUGACUUUCCUUUAUACCUUCGACUUUUAGUAUCGA